rnacentral:rRNA from 1 species
UACGAAGGGGGCUAGCGUUGCUCGGAAUCACUGGGCGUAAAGGGUGCGUAGGCGGGUUUUUAAGUCAGGGGUGAAAUCCUGGAGCUCAACUCCAGAACUGCCUUUGAUACUGAAGAUCUUGAGUCCGGGAGAGGUGAGUGGAACUGCGAGUGUAGAGGUGAAAUUCGUAGAUAUCGCAAGAACACCAGUGGCGAAGGCGGCUCACUGGCCCGGUACUGACGCUGAGGCACGAAAGCGUGGGGAGCAAACAGG